AGCCGGGUCGUCUAGCGGCCAAGGAUUCGGGGCUCUGGACCUUAAAUGGGGAGAACCCCCGAGACCGGGGUUCGAAUCCCCGCCCGGCUA
rnacentral:tRNA from 1 species